AUUGAGUUUCAGCUUUGGAACCUCUAGUUAACAUCUUAUUUUUCAAGAUUUUUGUUCUCAUUGCUUAUGUGAAGUAGCAGAACUACACUACCUAGAAAAGUUUGUUUAGCUUUAUCCACAGCAGUAAAAACAGGGUGGCAGCAAUGCCAGCAUUACACACUUUCUUUUCAAAGGCCUCAGUCUUGUCCGAAGAGUAGUACAUUCUCUUUGUCAGGUCAAUAUUUGACCUGUCUGUUAAUCUCGGUGGGAUACCACAGCAGUGGCCAUUAAGAAAGUCAUUUCAGAUGCAAACAUCUGUCUGGUUUACACUAAAAUAGCGCCAGGAAGAGAGAUUCAUUGCACAGAGGCUAAGGACUGAUGUUUUGGGUGGUCAGAACAAUAAUGUGUAAAGCAAUAAUAAUAAUAAUAAUAAAACCUAGCUUUUUUAUUAUUUAAUUCAGCAAACAACAUAUCUGUUAUUUGCAUGGAGAGCUUGACAAAACACAAGUGAUUUCUCCAAACUCCUUACAUUACCUCUGUUUGCAGAAUUACACAUUCAGCAGAAGUGGUGAAAGGCAGCUAAAGAUGUCAAAAACAUUUACAGGCUAACCAGAUCCCAGCUCAGAUAACUCCAUUUCAAGUCAUCUAAAUUCAUCCCCAUUAUCACUUAAGUGAGCAUUACGGCUGUUAGCAAACCCUACACAAAUAUUCAGAUUUUUGUUUUUCCUGUCAUGCUGAAGGUUAUCUCCCCAGUUGCUCUGAAAAAUCAGGUGACAACCAUUUCCCAUGAUGCUCUAAGGGCUGUCAAGCUGUCCAUCAAGCUGUCACCUGACCAAUCGUUCCCAUGGUUCUUUUAGACUUCUAGUAUGAUAAAUUGAAAGGCACUAUUAUCUGCCUGUUGUGAAGAGGAACUGCUUAGGCUUUGAUAAGAUAUCACCAGUCCCAGGUGAGAGGAGGCUGACAGCACAUCAAGACAAGAAAACACAUGGAAACAGUGAACACAGGAGCAAAAGAAGAAGGGAUCUUGAUGAGGAACAGGACUGCAGAGGAGGAUGAGACUUUUCACACAAGAUCAAGGAAAAAAAAUGCUUCAUGUACAGGACAGGAGAGGAAAUGCUGUGCUCUGCAUGUGAGAAGCUGAAAAACAGCAAAGAGAAUGAGCUGGGGAAGUAACUGGUUGCCACCAGGCAAUAGCAAGAUAACUGAGCAAGGCUCAGCCAUGGGGGAUGAUUUGGCACACAGACAGAUGACUUGAGAGAAGUGGAAGACUAUUCCAUGGAGGUAUUCAAAGAUGGACAGAACAAUCUUAAAAGUUAGUUUUGCACAUACAAGAAGAAUUCUGGUCAAUUGCUAAUGGGUUCAGGAAUCUCCACUGCAGGGCCUGCAUGACAAAGAAGGGGAAAAAAAAAAAAAGCAGAAAACAAAUAAGUUCUGGAUUAGGAUAUUGAAUGACAGACAGUUUUGUGGACUUGGAGCUAUCUUUUCCAAUUAUGGUUAGCAUUACUCACUGCAGUAUUUUGGUACUACACACAAUGAUAACUUUAGCACGGAUCCCACAGUAACAGAGCUCUCUAAAAGUCUUUUGCAAUGUAAAAUACUUAAAAUUACUAAGGAUAUACUGGAGUUAUCUUUCAACAGGCGGAUUGUAAAAUACAAUGGCCAAAAGAGUUCUGUAUUUUGCUCUGCUGAUCAUUUGAAGACAGGAAACAAAUGGAAUACACAGCUCUCGAGUCAUUUCUAUUAAUAAGUUAAUUAUAUCUAUAUUAAAGAGUUAUUAGAGGAAAUUAUGCACCCUUUUUUAUUAAUGGUUUGCUCACAGUUUGCAGACUUCCUGAUAUGGAAUUUGC
rnacentral:lncRNA from 1 species